rnacentral:Y_RNA from 1 species
NNNNGGUCCCAUGGCAGUGGGUUAUUAGAACUUAUUAACAUUAGUGUCACUAAAGUUGGUAUACCACCCCCCCACUGCUAAAUUUGACUGGCUAAA